rnacentral:rRNA from 1 species
GCAGUCGCCGCGGGAAUACAGAGGGUGCGAGCGUUAAUCGGAUUUACUGGGCGUAAAGCGUGCGUAGGCGGCUUCUUAAGUCGGAUGUGAAAUCCCUGAGCUUAACUUAGGAAUUGCAUUCGAUACUGGGAAGCUAGAGUAUGGGAGAGGAUGGUAGAAUUCCAGGUGUAGCGGUGAAAUGCGUAGAGAUCUGGAGGAAUACCGAUGGCGAAGGCAGCCAUCUGGCCUAAUACUGACGCUGAGGUACGAAAGCAUGGGGAGCAAACAGGAUUAGAUACCCCGGUAGUCCCUGUCUCUUAUAC